rnacentral:rRNA from 1 species
AUGUCAUUGAAACAAAUCUGUUUUGUCUCUGUUUUCUUUUCGGAUGAUGAGGAUGAGCCAGCCGAUCCUAACAUAAUUUUGAAGGAGCCGGACGACGAAGCCUCAAAAUCAGAUAAAGAUGUCUCCAACGCGACCGGACUUCCACUAGAUUUUUAUAGGGGUCAGGAGGAAAAAGAUAUGCUGUUUUCUAUCAGUCCCAAGCGGAUACUCCCCAGCUUCCAUGGUCCGCUUACCGAGGAAGAGAUGCGGGAGGACCCAGGGCCAGAGCAAGUUGGGUUGGGGUAUAGAGCCGUAAGCGCGGUGGGGGUGACAGAGCAUGUACCCAUUGCUAUCGUGAAUUGUACACUAAUUAGAGGGUUUUUACCUUAA